rnacentral:lncRNA from 1 species
GUAAAACUAAUGAACGGAAACAACUUGUACAACUUUGGUGGUAAACAUAAAGAACUAAAUAAGUGAUAUUGAAAAAACUCCUUAUUUAUUAUAUGCAAACCGAGAGCAUGCAAAUACAAAAGUGCAAACAUACAUGCUAUAGUUACACACAGGAUAGCAUAUACCUUAAUUAUUCAGAAGUACAAUGAUAAAGAGAAGGAAAACCACACAGUCUUUUUAGAUAGAGAUACUGUUGGGAAUGCCUCUGAAAGUUAACCCUUCCUCACUUGAACGAUGGAGCAAUGUGUAUGGCAGUUGAACUGGUCCAUGUCGGUUUCUCAGACUUGGAUCACUGUUCCUUGCAUUGAUUUUGCUCUCAAUUUCAGUGAGUUUGCUUCCAAACCUUUGGAAAGCUUCUAAUGCCUUGUUAUCAGUUGUCCAGUUUGGAGUAUCCCUUUGUCCAAGGUAGAUCUCAUCAGAAGCAUGCCUUGAUAAUAUCUCUAUCACUGAAAGGUCAACGAGGGUCUCGUACUUUGGUGUGAUUGUUUUCAGAUAAGCCUUUUGAUAAUCGGCCACCAUCUCAUCAUAUUCUGGAGUUCCUGGUUCAGGGAUAAACCUUCUGCUUAGAGUUGGACGGUUCAGGAUAUAGCCUCCAUAAGGAUACUGUCCAAAGUUAACAGCUGAAUGAAGAGCAGAAGCUGUCCAUAUUAUAAUAGAGCAAGAUUGUAUGAGAUCUUCAAUGCUCUUCAGUUUAGGCCACCACGGUUUAUCUUUUAGGUCUGCAUGACCCUUCUCCACAACUUCCUUCCACCAUGCUUGGAGUUCAGUAUCUUGUUGAAUUGCCACAUCUGUUGGGUAAUACAAGGACACAUACUCUUUCACCCAUGACUUUAUAGCAUCCCAAAUUUCAAGUCCAUCAACAGCAUAAGGGUAGUCCUCUAUCACAAGACGAAGGCCAUGAGGAGCAGAAGGAUCUUCAGUAGCCAACCCUCUGAAUCAAGUAACAGUAAAAUGUUAUUACAAAUUCAAUAAGCCUCUCUCCAUUUCUUCCACCAUCAAACACAAAAACUUGUUUUUGUAGUUCCAAAGCUAGAAAACUUAAUGUUUUCAUUAAUAGAUAGAUAGAUAAAAACAAUAGUUUAAAGGAAUGGUUGGCUUUUACUAUAUAUAAAAUACCUCUUGAUAAGAUCUGCUGGUAAAGCUUGGUCAGUAAAAACCCAGUUCUUGUAAACUGCUGAAGACAUCUCAAUAGAGUACUUUCCGGGCAAAAAUGAUUGCUCUAUAAUUCCACCUGCAUUAAUCAAAGAUUGCCUAGCAAGUCCAUUGAUAUUAAUGGUAUCACGAUAGUGAGGAUAGAGAAGUUUAUAAAUGGGGUGAAGCACACUGAGUUGUCUGUUUGUUGCUAUGGCAAAAGGCUCCAUCACUGCAUGAGUAUUUAACCUGCAACACCAUAAAGAAAAAGAAAAAAACUUAUCAAUAAUAAAUUCAUUUACGCAUACAUUACAUAUGUGCUAAAUAUUGCCAAAGAAGUUCUUACCAAUGACUCAUGAGCUGAUGAUAACCAGAGUCAUUCACAACUACAUGAGCCUUGGCCAAUAGCCAAAUUGUGCUGUCAACACCAUCAAUUGCAGGCAACACAACUUUGCUCACAGGACCCAAAUUAUCUCCACCUGGAUGUGGCUUGCUUAAUUCGAUAGCAAGUGGCUUCAAAGUGCCAUCAUCUUUCAAGAAGAAGAUUGUUCUGGUGGCGUAAGCUCUUGCAACAGGUAGGCUGUUUAUCCUCGUCAAAUACGGAAAGAAUGCAUCUUGAUAAUCUAAUAUGAAUAAUCUCUUUGCGCUAAGUGCCUGUGUUCCAGAGUUUAAUUUCAGUGAUCUUUCUUUCAUAACUUCAAAUUACAAAUCUAAUAUGGCUUCAAGUGCUUAUACUAAAAAGAAAUUAUAAAAGAAUAUGUAACAAAAGUUAUGCUAAGUACAAAAUUACCUCAUCUACUGUGACCCCAUCCGUGUUAAUCUCCAACUGUUCUCUUGUUAUGGUACUGGUUUGAUCACCAUAGAGAGAGGGAUCAAGAGAACUUUUUGGUGGGAAUUCCUGCCAUUAUUAAAAGAUGUCACAAAUAACAAGAGAAACACAUUAACAUCUUAACUUUGUCAUCAAAGUUGACCGUUUUAGAGACUUAAUAUCAAGAGUAUAGACAUACCUGAAGAAGACGAAAUACAUUUGGAUUGACACCAGCAAUCACUUCUCUUGCAAACUCUUCAUCUGUGUUCCAUUCAGACCUUUUAACUGCAGAAAUUAAAAAGGAAAAAGUUGAGUAACCAAGUUAAUAAUUCAAUUAAAAAAUGCUAAUAUAUUGAAGUUGUUUUGAUGAAGUACCUUGGAUAACAUGAGGCAAUGGAAAUUGAAGGACAUUUUCACCAUCACUGCGGAAGAGUUCCUUGAGGGCAGGUACAGGGCUAAUUUGGCUCAAAAAAUCUGUUGGCAGCUUAAUUCCACCCUCAUAGAGACUACGCACAUCAUCGAAGUUCUUAAACUCACUUGAUGUGAUCCUUAAGUCAAAAAUUGCAGAUUUUAACAGGGGCAACACGUCCUGAGAUAAAGAUUUUAUUCCAUACAUGAUGAAAUCUGAUGACUUCAAGUGACCAAAAUUUUCAUCUCUUGGAACAUAAAUCGCGCCUGGUUUCUCACUGUUGGGAUCUGUUAUAAACCAACCAAAUACAGCAUUAAAUCCUUGUUUUUCAAUCAUAUAUAUUAUCAAAUUUUACAACUUUUUUCACUUAUAUAGCCUAUAUAUUCACGUUGACCUCUCUACAUUGUUUGCUGCUGUGCAAAACAUUACCAAAUCUGGAAGUAUUUCUAGGAUCAUUUCAAGUUCUUUCAGUAUAGUGUAUUUAGAAAGAAAACAUGUUAAAAAUUCUUGGAUGGGUUAAACAACUUCACCAUAGUUAUACCAUUGAAACUAUAUGCUCAUAUAAUAUAUAUAUUAAUUUUAUAUCAUGAUCAAUGUCAGAAACAAAAUAAUUGAAUAUAAUUAAACAGAAAAAGUCUAACCUGUCCUGGUUCGGUCUCUACCAGUUCUAACCCUGCGAGGGUAAGGAUAGAUGAUAGAUCCUCCAAGGAUUGGGCGAGGAUCACCACCAUCUGGGUUUCCAAGGUCAUUGUACACGUCAUAGUCAUAGAUUCUAUCUUGUUCCUGGCGUUUACCAGUUCCAUCUCCUCUAAGAGUCUCCAAUUCUUCUUGUCUGUAUUUGAGAAGUGGAGCUGGUGUUGCACUUGGAAGAUAUGUCUGAAAUAUAUUCAUGAAUUAGUUUUCUGACCACUAAUAGAAUGAAAACAAAAACGAUCAGGACUUGGAAAAUAAAAUCUGGGCAUAAAAAAAAUAGAAGCUUACAUCAUUCACAAAGAAAAUACGAUCUUUCUGGUAUUUGUUGAAGUUGUAAAUCCAGGAGUUACAAACAAAGUGAAUGGUUCCAUGGUUUGGAAUGUCCUCAAGAAGAACACUGACGAGGAAAAACUCAUCAGUUGUAUAGUUUUGGAUGUAAAAUGCCCCUGGAAUUCCAAAUUUAGCAUCCCAAUCAAAGGAAACACGGAAUGCUAGCUGCUGAGCUCCCAACGUUGGAAAGGUCGGAAGAUGUUUUUCCACAAAUGCUUUGCUUCCAACUUUUCCUUUUCCACUAGCUGCAAACAAACAUACAGAUAAAAUUGAAAUAAUAAUAACAAACUAAAGAUGAGUAUUUUAGAUUACGAUUGAACAAUAAUGUUAAAAAAAGGUGAUGCUUUGCAUGAAUAUUUCACACAAAUAAUUCACGAAUACAUAGCUGUCUCUGAAAUAAACAAAAAAACUACGUUAGCCACUUGCAAGAUAUACGUAUGUCGGAAUAUAAAACCGUGAAUUAGUUCUUACAAUGAAGUUUGUCUCUCUUUCAUCUUUUUGCAUCACUGUAAAGUUAACUUCACCAUUCAAGUUUACUAAAAGAGUUUUUAACUUAUCCAAUAAAAACAUAUGAUCAAACUUAUAAUAAUAGUAUAAGUGUACGACAAUUAUUUAAUUAAACUUCAUAUUCAAUCUAAACAAUGACUCGUUGCAUUAUUGAGAUUCAGUCCAGAAACGACAAAACAAUAUAGUAUUUUAAGAGUGGCUAUAGAGCUGGAUGAGAUAUGUUCAUACAUCAGAGAUAUUAAUUAAUAAGAGUUUCAUUUAGGUACUGCAAUUUUAGUAUAAUAACAAUUAAUUAGCAACCAGUUGAAGUCUAAUCUGUGAAAUAAUUUAUGACAGAAAAUAGUGUGGCUGGUAAGAUGAGAACAAACCAUCAGCUUGAGUAGCACUGAUCAACUGCAAGGAAAUAUUUUUGCCUGCGAAGGCAGUUGCAGCAUCAACCAAACUACCAGCUACGUUAACGACAGUGCCAAGGAUAUCUUUGGUAGUUUCAAUAACACCGUCUUUACCAAUGGAAGUUAAAGCGUUGAAGUCCAACACGUUCUUGGGCAUCAACACCACAGUGCCCUUUAUCUUCUGACCAUUGUCAAAGAGGCCACCUAUGAGACGUGACAUCUUAAUUUGCUACUGUAUCAGCACUGUAUAGUGUUGUUAUUCUUUCUGCAGAGGAAGAAGGAGAGAAGAUUGAAGCUUAGUUGUGUGUUGUGAAGAGGCAAAGAAAUGCUAUUUAUAGAGAGGACGUGAGAAGAGAGAAGCAUAGCUCCAUUACAGUGAGGUUUGCAGGCUGAUUUUUCUAUGGCCACCAACUCCAUAUGCAACACGUUAUCCACAUUUCAUUGCAUAUUUUUUUUCUUCCUUCUUAUGUAUUCAAAUUUAAUAUUCUUGAUGCCAUUCAAUUGAUUUUCUUAUUACAAUCUUUUUGUUUGAGUUUUGGACGUUCCUAGCUGUCCUUUUCUUUUUAUUAUGCAAAUGAUCUAUUACAAUCAAGAGUAGAAAAAAGAAUGGUUUAUUUCAAGAAAGAAAAUCGUGUGAUCGUUAUUUAUACUUUUUUAAACUGUCCUCUGAUAUAAACAAAUAUUUUUACAAUUACAAUACUUAUUCUUUUGGGAUUGGAAGCCAUGUUGUAUAUGUGAAAAAUACUGAACUUUUAUUACUUUUUAGAUGAGAAUUCCGUAUUGAAAAAAAAGAUAAUCUUGAAAAUUAUAUUUGUUAUACAAGUAACCCAUCUAGAAUGUGUAUGGUGUUUGCUCUUAAUUAUUGCACAUGUUAGCAUAUUUAUUAUUGUAAGUGUGUUGUUUUGUGAUUUUUAUAUUAUUAGAAAAAUUUGUACACUUUGUUUUUUUUAUCUUUUGUUUGUGAUGAGUGAUUGGAAGAACAUGGUUCUUUGAGAAUAAGUCUCAACCAAAAAUUACAUAAUUGAAAGACUUGGCUCUCUACAAAGAUGGUGGUAAAGAAAGUCUCUUUUGAUUUUAGUACAAAGAACUAAUUGAAACUUCUCAACUUUAUUACUGAUAAACAUAAGAUGAACUAGAUAGGAAAUGACAGUGAAAACAAACUUAUAACAUACUCAAAUUGAACGAGAGCAGCAUACUGCAUACACACUGAGACAACGAUUUCACACAGACUUUUGUUGUUUCUUACUCAAAAGCAUAAUAUGGAUAAGGAAAACACAUCCGUUUCAGAUAGAGAUACUGUUUGGAAUUCCUCUGAAAGUCAUUCCUUCCUCACUUGAACGAAGGAGUAAGGUGUAUGGCAACUGAACUGGCCCAUGACGGCUUCUCAGACUUGGAUCAUUGUUCCUUGCUGUGAUCUUUCCUUCAAUUUCUGUCAGUUUGCUUCCAAACUUUUUGAAAGCUUCUAGUGCCUUUGAAUCAGUUGUCCAAUAUGGACUAUCUCUCUCCCCAAGAUAGAUCUCAUCAGAGGCAUGCCUUGACAAUAUCUCUAACACUGAAAUGUCAACAAGGCUCUCGAACUUAGGUGUGAUUGUGUUCAAAUACGCCUUUUGAGGAUUCUUCACCAUCUCAUCAUAUUCUUUGGUUCCUGGUUCAGGGAUAAAUCUUCUAGUCAGAGUUGGACGGUUCACGAUGUAACCUCCAUAAGGAUAUUGUCCAUAAUUAACAGCUGCAUGAAGAGCAGAAGCUGUCCAUAUGAUGAUAGAGCAAGAUUUAAUGAGAUCUUCAGUCGUAUGCAUUUUAGGCCACCAAGGCUUAUCUUUUAAGUCACCAUGACCCUUUUCCACAACUUCCUUCCACCAUGCUUGUAGUUCAGUAUCUUGUUUUAUUGCUUCAUCUGUUGGGUAAUACAAGGAGACAUAAUCUUGGACCCAUGCCUUAAUAGCAUCCCAUAUUUCAAGUCCAUCAACAGCAUAAGGGUAGUCCUUUAUCAGAAGACGAAGGCCAUGAGGAGCAGAGGGGUCUUCAACUGCUAAUCCCCUGAGUCAAGCAACAAUAUAACAUCUUAUUGACAAAUUCAACUAGCCUCACUCCGUUUCUAUUAUCAUUAAGGGAAAUUUUUUGUUUUCAUAGUUCCAUAACUGAAAUAAUUCAUGUUUCUAUUGACAAACACAUAUUUAAAAGGUGAUAAUUAAUAGUUCAUGCAAUCACAAAGUCAUCUAAUCACCCGUGACAGCAAAGCUUCUCUCUUACAUUAACAAUACGUAAAAAUUAAACCCUAUCUUGAAUUACUAAUUAGUAAAUAAAACUUCAUAUAUCUUUAUUUUAGUGAAGUAUAUUUUAUGAAUAUCACCUCUUGACAAGAUCAGCUGGUAAUGCUUGGUCAGUAAAAACCCAAUUCUUGUAAACAGUUGAGGAAAUCUCCAUAGAGUACUUUCCAGGCAAAAAUGCUUGCUCAAUAAAACCAUCUGCAUUGAUCAGGGAUUGCCUAGCAAGACCGUUGAUAUUUAUGGUAUCACGGUAGUGAGGAUAAAGAAGUUUAUAAAUGGGGUGAAGCACACUGAGAUUCCUGUUUGUUGCUAUGGCAAAUGGCUCUACCACAGCAUGAGUAUUUAACCUGUUAACCCAAGAAGAAAAAUAUCAGCAAUAAAUUCAUAUGCACAUACACUAUACAGUACACAUGGACUAAAUAUUGCAAAGGAAGUUCUCACCAAUGACUUAUGAGCUGAUGAUAGCCACAAUCAUUCACAACUACAUGAGCUUUGGCCAACAGCCAAAUUGUACUUUCAACACCUUCUGUUGCAGGCAGCACGACUUUACUCACGGCACCUAAGUUGUCUCCACCAGGAUGUGUCUUGCUUAAUUCGAUAACAAGAGGCUUUAAAGAUCCAUCAUCUUUCAAGAAUAGGAUUGUCCUUGUGGCAUAAGCUUUUGAUGUUGGUAGGUUGUUUAUCCUCGUCAAAUAAGGGAUGAAUGCAUCAUGGUGAUCUAGUAUGAAUAAUCUGUCUUUACCAAGUGCCUGUUCCAGAAAUUUUUAUUUCAGUGACUCAAUUUCUUAACUUCAAUUUACAAAUCCAAGUAGAGCAAUUAAAUAUUGACUCUUUUACAUGUUAAUCGAGUGUAUUUUGUUUUUAAUUUGCAUCAGAAGGAUUACUGAAAAGGAAAUUAUAAGAGAAUUUAGCAAAAGUCAUGCCAGAUAGAAGUCGAAUGAUGAUGUUUUUUUAUUGUGAAAAAUGCAUAUCAUUACCUCUUCUACUGUGACCCCAUCCAUGUUAAUCUCCAACUGUUCUUUUGUUAUGGUACUAGUUUGAUCACCAUAGAUUGUGGGAUCAAGUGAGCUUUUUGGUGGAAAUUCCUGCCAUUAGUAAACAAUGAUGUGAGGAAGGAUGACAGAUAUACGUAUAUAAUGAAUUUAAUAACAAAACAUUUGAACUUACUUGCAGACGACGAAUUACAUUUGGAUUUACACCAGCAAUGGUCUCUCUUGCAAAUUCUUCAUCAGUCAUCCAUGCUGACUUGCUAACUGUCCAAAGCAUAAAAUAUGUACUUGUCAAAUUAUCAAUUCAACAAACGCUAACAUGAUUAAGUUGUUUUGAUCAAGAUGUAUAAUCGAAGGUACCUCUGAUUACAUGAGGUGGUGGAAAUUGAAGGACAUUUUCACCGUCAGUACGGAAGAUUUCCUUGAGGGCUGGUAAGGGACUGAUUUGGCUGAGUAUAUCUGUUGGCAGCUUAAGUCCACCCUCAUAGAGACUACGCACAUCAUCGAAGCUAUCAAACUCACUUGAUGUAACCCUCAAGUCAAAAAUUGCAGAUUUUAACAAAGGAAACACAUUCUGAGAUAGGGAUUUGAGUCCAUAUAUAAGAAAAUCCGAUGACUUCAAGUGACCGAAAUUCUCAUCUCUUGGGACAUAAAUCUCACCCGGUUUCUCACUGUUGGGGUCUGUUACAAAAUAACCCAGAGUGAAAGAAUUAUCAACAAACGCAUAAAUUUGUAUACCAAGAUCAACAUAAUAAUAAAGUUUACAUCUUUAUCCACCAAUGAAACCAUAUAUGCCCUUGUGUUUAGUUUCACUAUAAAGAAAAAUCUUACCUUUUUUGGUCUUGUCUCUACCAGAUCUAACCCUGCGAGGGUAUGGAUAGUUGCUAGAGCCUCCAAGGAUUGGGCGAGGCUCACCACCAUCUGGGUUUCCAAUGUCAUUAUACACGUCAUAGUCAUAGAUUCUAUCUUCUUCCUUGCGUUUUCCAGUUCCAUCUCCUCUAAGAGUCUCCAAUUCUUCUUGUCUGUACUUCAGCAAUGGAGCUGGUGUUGCACUUGGAACAUAUGUCUGUCAUAUAUUUCACCAAUUUUGUCAUUCAAAGAAUUACAAACAAAACCCAUUUGUCUUUGUUUGAAAAAUUAGUUGGGUGAACUUUUGUACACAUUAGAAAAGCAGAACUUACAUUGUUGACAAAGAAAAUACGAUCUUUUUUGUAUUUUUUGAAGUUAUAAACCCAGGAGUUACAGACAAAGUGAAUGCUUCCAUGGUUUGGAAUGUCUUCAAGAGUCACACUAACAAGGAAAAACUCAUCAGUCUUGAAGUUUUUUAUGUAAAAUGCUCCUGGAAUUCCAAAGUCGGAAUCCCAUUCAAAAUAAAUACUGAAUGCCUCUUGUCUUGCUCCCAAAGUGGGUAGUGUUGGAAGAUGACUGUUCAGAUAUGUUUCCUCUCCAACUUUCCCUUUCCCACCUACAUAGUUAAACUCCAUAAAUAGUUAAAAAAACAAGGGCACGUCACCCAACAAUAAUUUCAAAUGCUAUAUAUGUAUUUUUUUAAAUAUAAAUAUAUAUUCAAUUUAUAAUAUGUUUAUACAAUAUAAAUACAAAAAAAAAAUAUUAUCUUAUAUCUAUUUACGUGUAAAUGUAAAUAAUUAAAGAAUUUUUUUUGAAUAAUGAUUUAUGAAAUGUACUAUUGUCACAAAUAAAUAAUUUUAUAUGUACAAAGAAUAUUAUUAAAUGUUAAUUAAAUAUUGAAUAAGAUUAAAAUUAAUAAUCUUAUUAUUCUCAAAAUUAUUACAACCAUAAUAUUAUAUAGAUUUUUCUUUCAUAACUUUUUUAUUUUACUUUUCCUCUUUUGUCCUGUUUUUAUGCAGUGAGGUAAUUAUUUGACUUAUAUUUAUUACAUUAGUUAUUUUCUAUAAUUACACCUGUUUGAUGGUAGUUCUGUUUUAUUGUGUUAAUAAUAAUUUGAAGAAAUGAAAAGAGAUUGAACGAACCAUGAGUCUGAGUAGCACUGAUCAACUGCAUGGAAACGUUACGCCCUAAGAAGGCGGUGGCAGCGUCGAUUACUCCGCCGGCUACAUUGGCGACGCCGCCCAAGAUACCGCCGACGGCGCCAACAGCGCCGCCGACAACGCCGCCAAUACUGUUAGGAACGGAGACGGAGGAGAUGGCGUUGAAGUCCAAGACAUUCUUGGGCAUCAACACCACAGUCCCCUUUAUCUUCUGUGUCCUUUUGCCGAUCCCAAACAUUUUUCCUCCUUCUGUUUACACACACUCAACACUAUUGUUCUUAUCCUUUUCAGAAGAAGAAGAAGAAGCUUGUGUGGUGAAACACUGCAUAGAAGGUACUUAUAGUGGCAGAAUUCAUGGCAUACCUACCUGCAUAUCUAACACGUGCUAUAUAACAUUGCAUAAUGAUGUUCCAGUCCAAUCAAACUCCACAAAUUUCAACAUUGAGUAAGAAAAAAUGAUUCAAAAGUUUAUAUAUAUACAAAUACCUCUAAUAAAAAAAAUAUUUUGAAUAACUAUAAAAAACAUAAAUAUCUCCAAUAAAAAAAGGUUAAAUAUCUUUUUUUUCCCAUUGGUUAAGAAUAUUCAAAUUGGUCCUCAUUUUAUUUUUCUGUUCACUAUAGUCCUAAAGAACGUAAUAUUAUGUUCAAUUUAGUCAUUUUUAUGUUCCAUGUAGUCCUAAAGAACGUAAUUUGUGUUCAAUUUAGUCCUUGUUUGUAGUUCACGGAAUUUGUAAAAAGGAUUAAAUUGAACACAAAUUACAUUCUUUAGGACUACAUUGAACAGAAAAAAGACUAAAUUGAACAUAAUUACGUUUUUUAGGACUAUAUUGAACAGAAAAAUAAAAUGGAGACCAUUUUGAAUAUUUGUAACCAAAACUAGGACCAAAAAAUGUAUUUUACCUAAAAAAAAAGUAUCUUGAAUAAGUAUAAAAAACAAAUCAGUAAAAACUUAAUCCAAAAUGGAUAAUAUUUUUUGAUGUAUAGAGAUCUAUGUGUGUCCAACCUACCUACAAUGACGAUAGAACAAUCAUUUACAUUCAUUUUACAUAUUAUAAAAUAAUUUAAAAAAGUAAACUUUUUGUAAUUUUUUUUAAAUAAAAAAUAAAAAGUAAGAAAACAUUAUACUAUCAUUUCUCUUCAUUGUUUUGUCAAUUUCUUAGGAUCAACAUUAUCCACUCAUAUCUCUUCUGUGUUCUGGUUUGUUAUAUUAAUUAGUGGUCGUAAAAAUUAUUUCAAAUAUUUCAUAAUACAGAGAAUUUUUGUAAUACAGGCAGAUUUUUUUCUUAAUAUUUCAUAAUUUAUUUAUAUUAGCCAUAGAAUGGUCCAGUUCUACUUUUCAUGCUUUUGUUUUUAUAUCAUUGGACCACCUGCGUAUGCUUAUUCGUUCGCCUUGUGGAUGAGAUAUGCAUUAAAUCUAUUAAUGAUUGAUUUUAUAUCAUUGCCUUUUCUCUUCUAUCUUUCUAAGAUUUAGGAGUUAAUUUUUAUCAUCUUAUUGAUCAAGGUAUUAGUGAGACUACGACAAAGUGAAAAUGAAUUCUGACUCUUAAAAAAAUUCAAUUAAACUAAGAUUUUAUUUUCCCUCUACUUAAAAAAAAUUGAUAAACUACAUUUGUAUGUGAAAGUAAAAUAAAUUUGUACAUUAAAGUUUAAUGUUUCAAUAGGAAAUUUAACAUUGUGGGGUUUUGAUUGAGAUCGAAGACAUACAUUCCUUUUGAAAUUCUUCUUGGAACUUGAAAUAAUAGAGUGAGAAUCAUCAAAUUGAUUUAUGUUAGUUAUAAUAUAGAGUAUAUGUAAUAUAUUUGUUCUUUUAUACAUUUGAAAUUGGGUUGGACAAUUAUAUUUAUUUUUGUUCCAUCGAUUUAUGUUUAGAUUAUGAUUAGAUAUUGUUGAAUUUAUAUAUUGGGUUUUGAAUGGUAAUUUUGAGCUGAAAUGAUUCAAAUAUAAAAUUGAUGUAAUAAAUAGGUUGGUGUGUUUUGAUUAAGAGUGUCAAAUGGAUUGAUUUACCAAUGCACUAAAAGUAAAUUAGUUUAAGUCAACAAUUUUAUAAUAUGACUUAAUUCUCAUAAAUUGAUUAAUGAAUUUACUCACUUAAAAAUAUUUUAUAUAUUUUUAAUUUAUUUUAUAUAUAUAUAUAUAUGCUAGAAAUAGGAUCGUCCAAUUCUCCUUUUUCGUGGCUUGUUUUCAUAUCAUUGGACUAUAUAUAGGAGAUGCAAUAAAUCACUGAAUAAUUGGUUUGAAAUUUUUUUGAAGGGUUCAGAAUUUAUUUUUAUAUUUAAAAUUGAAAAAAAAAAUAUCAUUCGUAGCUUCUUAAUAUCUCCAUAAAUUAAUAUUAUUAAUUCUCUCAAAAGAUACAGGAAUUUAAUUAGGGGAACGUGGAAUUAUGGACUUACGGGUGUCAAUUCGUUAAUAUAUCGUAAAUCUUAACUCAUUUAAAUAAGUCUCUUUUGAGGAUUUUAAGCAACGGGAUAAAGAAAACUUUCAAGUUUAGAAAGUCUCUCUUUCAAAUAGAUUAUGGUUAGGACUAAAAUAUGUUUGGUGCAAUGAAAAAUUUAAUUAAAUACGCCAGUUGCAAUUUGUUGGAAUUUGAACCAUGUUUCCAAGACUAAUGCCGGGUGGUUUAGAUUGAAAAUUUAGAUGAGUGGAUUUAGUUUUGAGGUUUAUAUGAGUUGAUCGAGUUUGAAGGUUAUGGACUAGUUAAGGUUAAUUCAAAUCAAAAGUUAAAAUAAACUAGUUUGGGUGGUUGAUUGAACCAAGUUAAUAAUCGAGAUGGGUCAAUCAAGUUGAAGGUUGUGAUGAGUCAAUCUAGAUUGAAGGUUGAGACGAACUGACAUGUAUUGGAAGUCAAGACACACUAUGAUCGCUUGACAACAACUAAAAUUUUAUCAAAUUCAACAAAUUUGGUUGAACUUGGCCCAAUCUUCCUUGACCAAAAUUUGACCAUAUUUGACAAAGUCGAGCCAAGCUGAAAUUUGUCUAAAUUUGACUUAUUUAGACCUUGUUGAAAUACACCCAAAUUUAAUAGUAUUGACUUGGUCAAAAUUUGGCCGAAUUCGACCAAGACGAUUAUGACCAAAAUUUAGUUGAAUUCGGUCGAGUUGGUCCAAGCCAAAAUUAGGUCAAAAUUGAUCGAGAUUACCUAGGUUGACAUUUUUUUGAAUUUUAUAUAAUUGACCAUGAUCGUAAUUUGGCUAAAUUCGACUAAGUCGUCCCGAUCGAAAUUUCGUCAUGUUAACCUUAGCAUAAUUUUGUCCGAAUUUGACUCAAUCAGUUUUGUUCGAAUUCUAUGGAAUCAACCACAACUAAAUUUUGGUCGAAUUCAACUGAGUCAACCAUAAUUGGGAUAAGGUCAAGUCGGUAACAAUAAAUAGCGAAUUCCAACCACAUAUGGUCAUUUACAAAAACGAAGCUGAUGACACUAAAGAAAAACUUAAACAAAGACGAUCAGAUUCGUUUAAAGUAUUCAAAAAAAGGGGUGGAAAGCAGAUAGAAGGUGCGAUGCAAGAGUCUGCAAAAUCAAAUAUGAGUAAAAGUGGGUGUAUGGAUGGGUGGAGUUAAUUAUAAGAGAGAAAAAGUUUUUUACCCUUAUCAGAAAGGUACUUUUCUUAAUUUAGAAUUUGGAGGUGUAGAAAGAAAAGUUGAAGGUACAAGGAGAAGCAUCCGUGGAGAGAUAGCAUGUAAUCUGUAACCCAACUUUAGAAAACUAAAUUGAAAAACGGAUAGCCCAAAAGAAAAACGGGCUUAACGAGAGUGUUAUCAUUAUAUAUUAUUAUUAUUUUAAUAUGAAUUUCUUAAACAUAUUUAGUCAAUUUUUUAUUUAGUUAUAAAUUAGCAUUUUAGUUUGUGCAAGGAAGAUAAAUGUUUUAUCAUAUAUAACAAAAAGUACGAUAUAUAUAUAUAUAUAUAUAUAUAUAUAUAUAUAUAUAUAUAUAUAUAUCCAUCAAAUAUCUUACUUAAACAAGUUUUAUAUUUUAUAUUGCUUUAACAUCAUUUCAAGAAAUAAAUUUAUGUUUAACUAUUGAGAGACGAUAAGGACAUUUGUGAAAUGUUGUUGGUCAUUAGUAUACUUUUCAGAACUAGAAGACUUGUUGCAUCGAUUUAUCUGUUUUAUAUACACAAUGAUUGCACCAAAUCUAUCACAUUAUUUUCUGAUUAAUGUUUAAAACAAAAAACACUGUUAUUUUCUUGGUCAAUCAAAGCACACAGUUCCAAACAGAGAAUUACAAGCAUAAUAAAAAACACAACAGCAUGAUCAUUUGUGUUAUGACAAAGUGGAUACAUAAUCAUGGUAUUCAACCACACGUUGUCUAGAUAGAGAUACUGUUAGGGAUUCCUCUGAAAGUCAACCCUUCCUCGCUUGAAGGAAUGAGCAAUGUGUAUGGAAGUUCAACUGGUCCACAUCGGUUUUUCAAGGCUGAAUCGGUGUUCCUUGCUGUGAUUUUUGCUUCAAUCUCUGUCAACUUGCUUCCAAACCUUUUGAACGCUUCCAAUGCCUUAGAAUCAGAUGUCCAAUUUGGAUGAUCUCUCUUGCCAAGGUAGAUCUCAUCAGAAGCAUGCCUUGACAGUAUUUCUAUCACUGUCAGAUCAAUAAUGGCCUCACGCUUAGGUGUAAUUGUUCUCAAAUAUGCAGUGUGAGGACUCUUCAGCAUCUCAUCAUAUUCUUUGGUUCCUGGCUCAGGGAUGAAUCUUCUGCUUAAAGUUGGACGGUUCAGGAUAAAACCUCCAUAAGGAUAUUGUCCAAAAUUAACAGCUGCAUGAAGAGCUGAAGCAGUCCAAAUGAUAGUAGAACUUGAUUGAAUAAGCUCUUGACGAGUCUUCAUUUUAGGCCACCAUUGUUUAUCUUUUAAGUCUGCAUGACCCUUCUCUACAGCUUCCUUCCACCAUGCUUGAAGUUCAGUAUCUUGUUGAACUGCCACAUCUGUAGGGUAAUACAAGGACACAUACUCUUCAACCCAUAUCUUAAUAGCAUCCCAUAUUUCAAGUCCAUCAACAGCAUAAGGGUAGUCCUUUAUCACAAGACGAAGGCCAUGAGGAGCAGAAGGAUCUUCAGUAGCCAAUCCUCUACAUCAAGCAAAAAGAAAAAAAAUGUUACUACCCUCUCAGUUUUUGCCAUAAUUAAAAGGGCACAUUUUGUUUUUUAGUCCCAGUUCAUUUUUCUAUCAUUAACCAUAUUAUUAUAGUUUAGUUUAUGCAGUAAUGUGUAUUUAAGAAGAAUACCUCUUGAUGAGAUCGGCUGGCAAUGAUUGUUCAGUGAAAACCCAAUUCUUGUAAACGGCUGAAGACAUCUCCAUAGAAUACUUUCCAGGCAAAAAUGAUUGUUCUAUAAUGCCAUUUGCAUUAAUCAGGUUUUGUCUAGCAAGUGCAUUGAUAUUAAUGGUAUCACGAUAGUGAGGAUAAAGAAGCUUAUAAAUGGGGUGAAUCACACUGAGAUUCCUGUUUGUUGCUAUUGCAAAUGGCUCCAUCACUGCAUGAGUAUUUA